rnacentral:rRNA from 1 species
UACAGGGGGUGCAAACGUUGCUCGGAAUUAUUGGGCGUAAAGCGCACGUAGGCGGUUUGUUAUGUCGGAUGUGAAAGCCCUUGGCUCAACUGAGGAAGUGCAUCCGAAACUGGCAAGCUAGAGUAUGUAAGAGGGUCGCGGAAUUCCCGGUGUAGAGGUGAAAUUCGUAGAUAUCGGGAGGAACACCGGUGGCGAAGGCGGCGACCUGGGACAAUACUGACGCUGAGGUGCGAAAGCGUGGGGAGCAAACGGG